rnacentral:rRNA from 1 species
CGGUGUUUAACUGGCGUGAUGUGGGACGUCCUACCGGUGGGCUUAGCCUCGCGAGGGGCGGCCCAACUAAUAUCCCGUCGCGGUGCUCUUUACUGAGUGUCGAGUCGGGCCGGUACGUUUACUUUGAACAAAUUAGAGUGCUUAAAGCAGGCUAUCCUCGCCUGAAUACUGCGUGCAUGGAAUAAUGGAAUAGGACCUCGGUUCUAUUUUGUUGGUUUUCGGAACCCCGAGGUAAUGAUUAAUAGGGACAGAUGGGGGCAUUCGUAUUGCGGCGUUAGAGGUGAAAUUCUUGGAUCGUCGCAAGACGGACAGAAGCGAAAGCAUUUGCCAAAAAUGUUUUCAUUAAUCAAGAACGAAAGUUAGAGGUUCGAAGGCGAUCAGAUACCGCCCUAGUUCUAACCAUAAACGAUGCCAGCUAGCGAUCCGCCGAAGUUCCUCCGAUGACUCGGCGGGCAGCUUCCGGGAAACCAAAGCUUUUGGGUUCCGGGGGAAGUAUGGUUGCAAAGCUGAAACUUAAAGGAAUUGACGGAAGGGCACCACCAGGAGUGGAGCCUGCGGCUUAAUUUGACUCAACACGGGAAACCUCACCAGGCCCAGACACCGGAAGGAUUGACAGAUUGAUAGCUCUUUCUUGAUUCGGUGGGUGGUGGUGCAUGGCCGUUCUUAGUUGGUGGAGCGAUUUGUCUGGUUAAUUCCGAUAACGAACGAGACUCUAGCCUGCUAAAUAGGCGUACCUUAUGGUAUCGCGAAGGCCCCCGGCUUCGGCCGGUGGGUUUUUACUACCAACGUACAAACAAAUCUUCUUAGAGGGACAGGCGG